rnacentral:rRNA from 2 species
UUGACCUCGGAUCAGGUAGGGAUACCCGCUGAACUUAAGCAUAUCAAUAAGCGGAGGAAAAGAAACCAACAGGGAUUGCCUCAGUAACGGCGAGUGAAGCGGCAAGAGCUCAAAUU